AUACGUAGGUGGCAAGCGUUGUCCGGAAUUACUGGGUGUAAAGGGCGUGUAGGCGGAGCGGCAAGUCAGAAGUGAAAUCUCUGGGCUCAACCCGGAAACUGCUUUUGAAACUGUCGCCCUUGAGUAUCGGAGAGGCAGGCGGAAUUUCUAGUGUAGCGGUGAAAUGCGUAGAUAUUAGGAGGAACACCAGUGGCGAAGGCGGCCUGCUGGACGACAACUGACGCUGAGGCGCGAAAGCGUGGGGAGCAAACAGGAUUAGAUACCCUGGUAGUCCACGCCGUAAGCGAUGGAUACUAGGUGUGGGGGGACUGACCCCCUCCGUGCCGCAGUAAACACAAUAAGUAUCCCACCUGGGGAGUACGACCGCAAGGUUGAAACUCAAAUGAAUUGACGGGG
rnacentral:rRNA from 1 species